rnacentral:rRNA from 1 species
CGAGAGACCGAUAGCGAACAAGUACCGUGAGGGAAAGAUGAAAAGCACUUUGGAAAGAGAGUUAAACAGCACGUGAAAUUGUUAAAAGGGAAACGAUUGAAGUCAGUCGUGUGAAAGGUAUUCAGCCGUCUCUGGCGGUGUAUUUGCCUUUCACGGGUCAACAUCAGUUUGAUCCGGUAAAAAAAGGCAGGAGGAAGGUGGCACCCUCGGGUGUGUUAUAGCCUCUUGUCAUAUGUGCCGGACCAGACUGAGGAACGCAGCUUGCCGCAAGGCCGGGGUUCGCCCACGUACAAGCUUAGGAUGUUGACAUAAUGGCUUUAAACGACCCGUCUUGAAACACGGACC